AGUGAACGCUGGCGGUAGGCCUAACACAUGCAAGUCGAACGGCAGCACAGUAAGAGCUUGCUCUUACGGGUGGCGAGUGGCGGACGGGUGAGGAAUACAUCGGAAUCUACUUUUUCGUGGGGGAUAACGUAGGGAAACUUACGCUAAUACCGCAUACGACCUACGGGUGAAAGCAGGGGAUCUUCGGACCUUGCGCGAUUGAAUGAGCCGAUGUCGGAUUAGCUAGUUGGCGGGGUAAAGGCCCACCAAGUCGACGAUCCGUAGCUAGUCUGAGAGGAUGGACAAGCAAACGAGGACUGAGAGAGUGAUCAGACUUCUUCGCGAGGCAGGAGGAGGGAAUAUUGGACAAUCGGCGCAAGCCUUAUCCAGGCAUACCGCGUGGGUGAAGAAGGGCUUAGGGUUGUAAAAGCCCUUUGAUGGGAAAAGAAAGCAUCGAGUUAAUCCCCCGGCGUUCUGACGGUACCCAAAGAAUAAGCACCGGCUAACUUCGUG
rnacentral:rRNA from 1 species